CCCAGGCCAGACUGUGCAUUCGUGGGCAACUUGAGGGCGGGAACAGAGAUGAUGGAGGUCACCCCUCCUCUGUGCCCUGCCCCGACCCGCAGCACAUGACGCACCACUGCGGAAGGAAACACGCGUGGAGAAGUGAACGAAUGGGUCGAUCACGGCUGGUAACAGAGGCCAUGCCCUCACUGGUGAGGGCGCACUGUGCUGGGAUGCUCUGAACUUUGGUCCCCAGGAAGCACACAGAGCGGCCAGAGUAUGUGCAGGAGGAGGAGAAUGGGAUACGUCCUCCCGAUCCUCCCAAAGGAGGCCCUGUCACUCCCUCACCCGGUCCAGAGGCUGAAACAUGGCAAAGAGCGUUUAGCAGGCAUCCCCCUGUCCCCAUGGAGAAGGACAAACGGCAGGCUUCAAGAAGGUCAAAACUAAAGAGGAUCUUAGGCCUCUAGGCCAACUCUAUGGGGAAACUGAGGCUCAUGGAAAGACAGAGGCUCUCCAGCUUCCAGAAGUCUCUUGCACAGCUGAACCCUCUUCCUCCUCACCUAAGAGAGGCAAUCCCCAGCCUGUCCAUGGAUCCAAAGUCAAGUCGAACCUCCUAACCGUGAGGGCCUCGGUGCCCCUGUCAGAGGCUCUGCAAAGGCCUGGCAAAGGCCGGAAGAAUCUGUUAAUGGGGGUGAUCUGGGGGAGGCCUUCCGUUAUCCUCACUGGAGUUUAUCUGUGUUGACUGGUCUGCCUAAGAUGCGUUUCAAUCUUGGCUCUCCUUAAGAAGAUACCGUUUAAGAUUUUUUUCCCUUGGUCCAAGACCAUCUAAAGAUAAGAAUUAGGAGGCUUUCUUUGGUUUGGCCAGGUCUCAGCCUGAAAAACAUCUUUGACAUCUAAGA